rnacentral:lncRNA from 1 species
UCCAAAACACGAUGAGCAGCAGUGAGAUAAGUAGUUCGGGGAGAAGCCAUGAACUGGCUAAGAUGUUGAACUGUAAAAGACAAGUCUGGUCUCGUGUGUUGAAGGAAAUUUAGCUUUCCACCAAACUUUAUGUACAUAGAAGGAUCAGGUAACAAAUACCCAGAAUCAGAAGAUAGCUUCACGUGAGGGUCAAGUGGUGCUUGGAGAGAAAAAUCGGAGGAGUUAUUGAGCAGAAGUCCCAAACGACGAGUACCAGCCAAAUAUUCCAAAACACGAUGAGCAGCAGUGAGAUAAGUAGUUCAGGGAGAAGCCAUGAACUGGCUAAGAUGUUGAACUCUAAAAAACAAGUCUGGUCUCGUGUGUUGAAGGAAAUUUAGCUUUCCACCAAACUUUAUGUACAUAGAAGGAUCAGGUAACAAAUACCCAGAAUCAGAAGAUAGCUUCACGUGAGGGUCAAGUGGUGAAACAACAGGAUUAACAUUAGUAUAGUGAAAUUCGGACAAUAGAUCCAAUGCAAACUUAUGUUGGCUGACCAAGAACCUCGUCGAAGUAUGGAUAAUUUCCAGACCAAGGAAAUAAUGUAUAAAACCAAG